UACGGAGGGUGCAAACGUUGCUCGGAAUCAUUGGGCGUAAAGCGCACGUAGGCGGCCUGUUAAGUCGGAUGUGAAAGCCCCGGGCUCAACCCGGGAAGUGCAUUCGAAACUGGCGGGCUUGAAUAUGGAAGAGGGUCGCGGAAUCCCCGGUGUAGAGGUGAAAUUCGUAGAUAUCGGGAGGAACACCAGUGGCGAAGGCGGCGACCUGGGCCAAUAUUGACGCUGAGGUGCGAAAGCGUGGGGAGCAAACAGG
rnacentral:rRNA from 1 species